rnacentral:rRNA from 1 species
UACGAAGGGGGCUAGCGUUGCUCGGAAUCACUGGGCGUAAAGCGCACGUAGGCGGAUCCUUAAGUCGGGGGUGAAAUCCUGGAGCUCAACUCCAGAACUGCCUUCGAUACUGAGGAUCUCGAGUCCGGGAGAGGUGAGUGGAACUGCGAGUGUAGAGGUGAAAUUCGUAGAUAUUCGCAAGAACACCAGUGGCGAAGGCGGCUCACUGGCCCGAUACUGACGCUGAGGCACGAAAGCGUGGGGAGCGAACAGG